rnacentral:ncRNA from 1 species
UGCCCUAAUGGGGAAAAGGAAGGUGUAUAAUUCUAUAUGUGUUUGAUAAACAGCCAAACGCCUUGUCACCCGAUGAGUGACACAGGUGCGUGAAUGAACGAGGUUCCCGCUGUCCCUAACAGCGAAACCACAGCCCAGGGACCGGGCUCAGCAGAAUCAGUGAGGGCAGGAGACCCUGUUGAGCUUGACCCCAGUCUGGCACUGUUAAGAGAUGCGAGAGGUGUAGAAUAAGUGGGAGGCUGGGUGCGUGCUUGGCAUGGCAGGGCCACCUGGCUGUUGGUGAAAUACCACCACUCUGAUCAUUUCUUCACUUACUCAGUGAGGC